UACGGAGGGUGCGAGCGUUGUCCGGAAUCAUUGGGCGUAAAGGGCGCGUAGGUGGCCUGGCCAGCGUGCGGUGAAAGCUCGGGGCUCAACUCCGAGUCGGCCGUGCGAACUGCUGGGCUCGAGCACUGUAGAGGCAGGCGGAAUUCCGGGUGUAGCGGUGGAAUGCGUAGAGAUCCGGAAGAACACCGGUGGCGAAGGCGGCCUGCCUGGGCAGUGGCUGACACUGAGGCGCGGACAGCGUGGGGAGCAAACG
rnacentral:rRNA from 1 species